UACGUAGGGUGCAAGCGUUGUCCGGAAUUAUUGGGCGUAAAGAGCUCGUAGGCGGUUUGUUGCGUCGGCUGUGAAAUCCCGAGGCUCAACCUCGGGUCUGCAGUCGAUACGAGCAAACUAGAGUGUUGCAGGGGAGACUGGAAUUCCUGGUGUAGCGGGUGAAAUGCGCAGAUAUCAGGAGGAACACCGGUGGCGAAGGCGGGUCUCUGGGCCGAUACUGACGCUGAGGAGCGAAAGUGUGGGGAGCGAACAGG
rnacentral:rRNA from 1 species